UGUGGGAGCACAAGUGAAGGUAAUUCAGCUGUGCUCCUGGAAGGGGUGGAGAUUGGCUCUCCUAGAUCCCAUUUAAGGGCUGACCACCCUUAAAUGUACUAAGGUAGCAUCUUUUUCUGGAGAUUGCUUCUUUUUGGAGUUUUUUGUGGUGAGCCUCAACAUAGGCAAGCAUCCAUCUUGACUGAAAGCCUCAGCAUUGGUGAGUCUUUGCUUAGAUAUCCUCUGGCUAUAUAUUUACUCUAAUUACAACUAUACCCUUGUAUUAUUCCAACUGUACACUCUCUUUUUUUACCAUCAGCUCUUGAGAACCAUUCAAGACAAGUAUAAACUGAGCAUAAAUAGGGCCAUGUAACAUGAAAGUGCUAAUAUUUCCCGUAUGCACAGUAAAAUCUUUCCUGUUCCUUUCUAAGAGACGCUAAUAUACUUUCAGUUACUUCUCAUGAGCCAUUACAGCUACUUAACUCCAGACACCAUGAAAUUGUGAUGAAGUUGCUCCCUGUGUAUUUACAGAAAACCAAUGACACAUACAGCUUCCUGUUAAAUUGCUUAAGUAACUUCGCAGUAAAUUUUAUUUCUUUAAAUCCAAAGACUUAUGUUCUCAUGCUGUAUUACAUAUUUAGUGUCAGCCUACAACAGUGACAAUGUAUGAACACAUGAGGUGGGAGGAGUGUGCUCAGCAUUGCUAGAACUGUGAAUACAAAAACAUCAGAAGAAAACAAAAAUGUGCAGAUACUUUCAACAGAUCAGAAGCAUAUGCAAAUAACCUUCCCACAGUUUAUGGAUGAGGUUUUUUUCAGUAUUAUUCAACUUCUACAAUCAAUAGAAUGUAUUCUCUUACAAUAGUUUUUUCUUAGCUUACAUACUCUGUCAGACCCUCCUUUACAAUGCAAAGAGACUACCUUGGCAGAGAGACCUUUGUUUUUCAUUUCUGUAAUCUACUCUGCAUUCCAUGUGAGCAAGUAUUGCCAGUUCCAAUCAUUCCCUCUGUUGCUUUGCCUUUAAUUUUUUGUUUCUGAUUGACUCCAUCUCCUUUACAGGAAAUCAAGAGUUGUAUACAGGGAUAUACUGAACAAAGUGCUACUCCUCACCUUGCAUUAAAAGGCAGCUGCAACUGGGAGUGCCUCUGGCUACUUCAUAACUCAAGGAAUCAGUGAGGAGCCACAUUUCAUCAAUGAAGGCAGCUCUAAUUUUGACAGAGACUUCUAGAAACAUCCUCUAAUGGAGUCAGCCUCACAACUGAGAAAGCCCUAGGCACUGGCAGAAAGCUUGGCGGGCCAAGGUAAGAAAAAAGACUGGUCUUCAACUGCAUGCUUAAGUUAGAAGAAGAACACGGGAAAGGAAGAAGCAGGCUGCUCUACAGCUACAGCUAACAAGUGAGGAUAUGAGAAAGAAGAGACCAACUGUUCUCACCAACAAACUGAUGUACCCACACUACUGCCUGCUAGGAGAAAGGAAUGUUCAGAAUGGACAGUGUACAAAGGAAAAGUUCAGGUAGCACAGUGUGUCAUGGAAAACAUAGAGAUAUUCACUCACAGACAGCAACCACUGAUAAAAUACAGGC